CGGGAUCUCUGCCCCGGGUGCGUCGCAGCCCCGGACCAAGGCGCCCGCCGGAGGACCAACCAAAACUCUUUUGUAUACCCCCUCGCGGGUUUUUUAUAUCUGAGCCAUCUCGGCGCCUCUCGUAGGCGUUUCGAAAAUGAAUCAAAACUUUCAACAACGGAUCUCUUGGUUCUGGCAUCGAUGAAGAACGCAGCGAAAUGCGAUAAGUAAUGUGAAUUGCAGAAUUCAGUGAAUCAUCGAAUCUUUGAACGCACAUUGCGCCCGCCAGUAUUCUGGCGGGCAUGCCUGUCCGAGCGUCAUUUCAACCCUCGAACCCCUCCGGGGGGUCGGCGUUGGGGAUCGGCCCUUUACGGGGCCGGCCCCGAAAUACAGUGGCGGUCUCGCCGCAGCCUCUCCUGCGCAGUAGUUUGCACACUCGCAUCGGGAGCGCGGCGCGUCCAUUGCCGUAAAACACCCAACUUUCUGAAAUGUUGACCUCGGAUCAGGUAGGAAUACCCGCUGAACUUAAGCAUAUCAAUAAGCGGAGGAAAAGAAACCAACAGGGAUUGCCCCAGUAACGGCGAGUGAAGCGGCAACAGCUCAAAUUUGAAAUCUGGCCCCUCGGGGUCCGAGUUGUAAUUUGUAGAGGAUGCUUUUGGUGAGGUGCCGCCCGAGUUCCCUGGAACGGGACGCCACAGAGGGUGAGAGCCCCGUCUGGCUGGCCACCGAGCCUCUGUAAAGCUCCUUCGACGAGUCGAGUAGUUUGGGAAUGCUGCUCAAAAUGGGAGGUAUAUGUCUUCUAAAGCUAAAUAUUGGCCAGAGACCGAUAGCGCACAAGUAGAGUGAUCGAAAGAUGAAAAGCACCUUGAAAAGAGGGUUAAAUAGUACGUGAAAUUGUUGAAAGGGAAGCGCUUGUGACCAGACUUGGGCGCGGCGGAUCAUCCGGGGUUCUCUCCGGUGCACUUCGCCGCGUCUAGGCCAGCAUCAGUUCGUCGCGGGGGAAAAAGGUUUC
rnacentral:rRNA from 1 species